rnacentral:rRNA from 1 species
UUAAAAGUCUAAUCUGCCCAAUGAUAAAUAAUUAAAUGGCCGCGGUAAAUUGACCGUGCAAAGGUAGCAUAAUAAAUAGUCUUUUAAUUGGAGGCUUGAAUGAAUGAUUGGAUGAGAAAUUAACUUAAUUAAUAUUAACGAUUGAAAUUAAUUUUUAAGUAAAAAAGCUUAAAUAAUUGAGUGGGACGAGAAGACCCUAUAGAAUUUUUAAAAUUUUUUUUAAUUUAUUUAUUUUAGUUAAUUAAUUCUUUCUAUUUCAAAAAUUUUUUUGUUGGGGUGAUGUUAAAAUAAAAUUAACUUUUAAUAAAAAUUUCAUAAGUAUAUGUAAAUAUUGAUCCAAAUUUUUGAUUAUAAGAAUAAAUUACCUUAGGGAUAACAGCGUAAUUAAUUUGAAGAGUUCUUAUCGAUAAAUAAGAUUGCGACCUCGAUGUUGGAUUAAGAAUAGAAAUUGGAGCAAAAUUUAUUAUUUCUAGGUCUGUUCGACCUUUAAUAU